CAGUCGUGAAGAAAGCACGGACGCUUUCCGAACUUUGAGGCAAAGGUGGCCUCUCAGGACUGGGAAGGGCUAGUCGCCGUCGAGGAUCAAGCGAAAGGGGGGAUUCGCCUUAAAGACCACUCAAGUCUUUAAAAAAGGAGAGUUUGUCUGCGACUAUCAUGGAGUCUUGAUGGAUGGGAAAGAAGGAUAGGAGGUGCAGCGCUCCAUCACCGACGGGAAGUGCUACAUCUACUUCUUUAGGCACCAAGAAAAAAAAAUGUGUGCGAAUGCUACGAAGGCUCACCCACUGUACCCACAAAAAAAAUCUGCAUAUCUCUUUAACUUCACAGACCUUCAUCAAGAAAGAGGCAAAGGAGUGAAGCAGACGAAAUAUCAGAAGAAGAGCAACAGGAGGGAGAGCGAAGUGAAGUAGAAGAUCCUGAAGAAGUCGUGGCGGACGUCAGGGAAGAAUCCUUCAAGAGGCUGCUGAGAUGGUGUCCAGUGAGACUGGACCACCCACUUCCAUCACUGACGACUUGUAAAGACAUCAGUCAGCGCCAUGCUUAGUACUGUCAGGACAGAUGGCGAAGGAGACAGUACCAGAUGCGUAUAAGUGAGGCCGUCGAACACUUCAGGAGCCUUCCCACGGAAGAGAUGGUUGACAUCUACAUGGAGCGACAGAGCUGGACAAGCAACCUCCCCAAAGCUUGGGAUGUUCUAACGGCUUGGAAACCUCCGCAGUCGUGAAGAAAGCACGGACGCUUUCCGAACUUUGAGGCAAAGGUGGCCUCUCAGGACUGGGAAGGGCUAGUCGCUGUCGAGGAUCAAGCGAAAGGGGGGAUUCGCCUUAAAGACCACUCAAGUCUUUAAAAAAGGAGAGUUUGUCUGCGACUAUCAUGGAGUCUUGAUGGAUGGGAAAGAAGGAUAGGUGCAGCGCUCCAUCACCGACGGGAAGUGCUACAUCUACUUCUUUAGGCACGAAGAAAAAAAAAUACCUUCAUCAAGAAAGAGGCAAAGGAGUGAAGCAGACGAAAUAUCAGAAGAAGAGCAACAGGAGGGAGAGCGAAGUGAAGUAGAAGAUCCUGAAGAAGUCGUGGCGGACGUCAGGGAAGAAUCCUUCAAGAGGCUGCUGAGAUGGUGUCCAGUGAGACUGGACCACCCACUUCCAUCACUGACGACUUGUAAAGACAUCAGUCAGCGCCAUGCUUAGUACUGUCAGGACAGAUGACGAAGGAGACAGUACCAGAUGCGUAUAAGUGACGCCGUCGAACACUUCAGGAGCCUUCCCACGGAAGAGAUGGUUGACAUCUACAUGGAGCGACAGAGCUGGACAAGCAACCUCCCCAAAGCUUGGGAUGUUCUAAAGGCUUGGAAACCUCCGCAGUCGUGAAGAAAGCAC